rnacentral:rRNA from 1 species
GGCGGACGGGUGAGUAACGCGUGAGAAUCUGCCUUCAGGACGGGGACAACAGUUGGAAACGGCUGCUAAAACCCGAUGUGCCUACGGGUGAAAUAUUUAUAGCCUGAAGAGGAGCUCGCGUCUGAUUAGCUAGUUGGUAGGGUAACGGCUUACCAAGGCGACGAUCAGUAACUGGUCUGAGAGGAUGGCCAGUCACACUGGGACUGAGACACGGCCCAGACUCCUACGGGAGGCAGCAGUGGGGAAUUUUCCGCAAUGGGCGCAAGCCUGACGGAGCAAUACCGCGUGAGGGAGGAAGGCUCUUGGGUCGUAAACCUCUUUUAUCAGGGAAGAACACAAUGACGGUACCUGAUGAAUCAGCAUCGGCUAACUCUGUGCCAGCAGCCGCGAUAAUACAGAGGAUGCAAGCGUUAUCCGGAAUUAUUGGGCGUAAAGCGUCCGCAGGUGGUUUUGGUAGUCUGCUGUCAAAGCGCGAGGCUCAACUUCGUAUCGGCGGUGGAAACUCCAAGACUAGAGUUUGGUAGGGGUCACGGGAAUUCCCAGUGUAGCGGUGAAAUGCGUAGAUAUUGGGAAGAACACCAGCGGCGAAAGCGCGUGACUGGGCCUGAACU